GACGAAGGAUGCAAGCGUUAUCCGGAUUCAUUGGGUUUAAAGGAGCGUAGGUGGCCUUAUAAGUCAGUGGUGAAAUCUCUGGGCUUAACCCAGAAAUUGCCAUUGAUACUGUAGGGCUUGAGUAUAGUUGCCGUUGGCGGAAUAUGACAUGUAGUGGUGAAAUACAUAGAGAUGUCAUAGAACACCGAUUGCGAAGGCAGCUGACGAAACUAUAACUGACACUGAGGCUCGAAAGUGCGGGAUCAAACAGG
rnacentral:rRNA from 1 species